AGCGUCGUGAGGUGCUGUUUGAAGGAGACGUGGAAGCCGAGAGGCCCAUAGGCGGCUUGACAGACCGAAAUGCGAAAGCGUGAAGUACAACGGCUGGGUAAGUUGGCGACUGUGCGAAGAAAACGGGAAGCCUACCUAAUGGUAACUGCUGCCCAGUGAGCCAGCCGGGCAGUAAGUAGCUUAUCAGGUGAUGGUGCUUGGUAUGUCAAGAAGGAAAAUGCG
rfam:Desulfotomaculum aeronauticum DSM 10349 genome assembly, contig: EJ44DRAFT_scaffold00031.31